rnacentral:rRNA from 1 species
AUGAACGCUGGCGGCGUGCCUAAUACAUGCAAGUCGAGCGAACAGACGAGGAGCUUGCUCCUCUGACGUUAGCGGCGGACGGGUGAGUAACCCGUGGAUAACCUACCUAUAAGACUGGGAUAACUUCGGGAAACCGGAGCUAAUACCGGAUAAUAUAUUGAACCGCAUGGUUCAAUAGUGAAAGACGGUUUUGCUGUCACUUAUAGAUGGAUCCGCGCCGCAUUAGCUAGUUGGUAAGGUAACGGCUUACCAAGGCGACGAUGCGUAGCCGACCUGAGAGGGUGAUCGGCCACACUGGAACUGAGACACGGUCCAGACUCCUACGGGAGGCAGCAGUAGGGAAUCGUCCGCAAUGGGCGAAAGCCUGACGGAGCAACGCCGCGUGAGUGAUGAAGGUCUUCGGAUCGUAAAACUCUGUUAUUAGGGAAGAACAAAUGUGUAAGUAACUAUGCACGUCUUGACGGUACCUAAUCAGAAAGCCACGGCUAACUACGUG